CAGAAAUAAACUAAGACAAAUAUGAUACAGAGACAUAAUUUCUGAAUGAUAUGAGACACAUAUUAUAUAUUUUCAUUGCGUAGAGGUAUUAUUCAUACUAUUUUUUCAAGUUACUAAAAUAAGAUUUAAUACUACAACAGUUUUAACAACAUUAUGUUUGCUUUAAACGGAUUUUCGUAUCAUACAUACAUGUAUAUCGCUUAUUCAAGCUACACAUACAAUACACAAGUACUUUUCAAAAUGAAACUAAAUCCAUCUUGUUCAGUGAUGUUGACAACAGUCAGAAAACUAUAUACAACACUUAAAUUAAAAAAGAGUAUUCAUGUAUUUCUUUUAAAUUUUGUUCAAUUCCAUCCUUGCAAAGUGGAAAAAUUCUAUGUUCUAAAGGCAUUCUAUUAUCAUGAUUAUAUCUACUAACUUCUAAUAGAAAUUAAUUACUACUAUUUUUUUACCAUUUUAGAAAUAUCACAAUUACCAUGGCAAGCUUUAAUAGAGUCACAAAAAGAGCUUGUUUCCUGGAUUUUAUUAAUUAUAAAAUGUUUAUAGCUUUUUGCUACUUGUAAGCCUACAACCAUGAUAAUUCACAGAUAU
rnacentral:lncRNA from 1 species